rnacentral:rRNA from 1 species
GUUGAUGCCCUGGCAGCCAUCUUAGAUAAAGCCAAGGUUGCGGGCCAUAUCAAGGGCAUAGUCCCGCAUCUAGUAGGAGGGAAUGGGAUUUCCCUCCUCCAAUAUGCGGAUGACACCAUUAUCAUGGUGGAAGGUUCUGUGAGCGACAUCAUGAACCUGAAGUUCCUCCUGCUCUGCUUUCAGCAGAUGUCUUGCCUCAGGAUUAACUUCAAUAAGAGUGCGGUGAUGGUCUUGGGCUACUCCGAUGAUGAACGGUGGAGCAUCGCGGGCCGUCUUAACUGUCUGCUUGGGUGCUUCCCCACGACCUAUUUGGGGAUACCCAUUAGUGACACGAGGCUCACGGUGGCCGAGUUGCGCCCCAUGGUGGGCAAGCUCCAGCACUGCAUUGAGCCUUGGCAGGGCGGUGGCUCUCCAAAGCAGCCCGAACUGUGCUCAUUAACUCGUCCCUAUCCAGCCUGCUCUUAUUCAUUAUGA